rnacentral:rRNA from 1 species
GACGAACGCUGGCGGCGUGCUUAACACAUGCAAGUCGAGCGGAGCGGCGAACGGGUGAGUAACGCGUGAGUAACUGCCCCCCUCUCUGGGGUAACAGUUGGAAACUGCUUAUAAUACCUGAUAGUGGGGGAUGACUCGGGUCCUAUCAGCUUGUUGGUGGGGUAGUGGCCUACCAAGGCGACGACGGGUAGCCGGCCUGAGAGGGCGACCGGCCACAUUGGGCUGAGAUAGGGAGCAAACGCCGACGGGAGGCAGCAGGGGGGAAUAUUGCACAAUGGUGGAAACCCUGAUGCAGAAACGCCGCGGGCGGGAUGACGGCCUUCGGGUUGUAAACCGCUUUCAGCCAUUACGCGGUAGUGGCAGAAGAAGCACCGGCUAACUACGUGCCAGCCGCCGCGGUAAUAC